AGUCAACACAUAUUGUCUCCUCAAGAAUGAAUCUUGUGAUUUACACUCAACAAUUAUUUCUUUUAACCUCAACCCUGAACCUUGGUUAAGGUUAAAAGACCAAGACCAAGGAAGCAAAGCAGAAAUGCAGACUUGACACUGAGACAGAAAACUAAGUCUAAAUGUCACAGGGUGGAAAGGGACAAGUUAUCUAAGUUUUUUUACUGUGCAUGUUUUUGUUGUGUUUUACCUUUUUAAUGUUUUAAUAUUGUACAUUGGGUUAUUUUUAUGAGUUUUACUGCAUGUUUUAAUGGUAUUUAUUUGGUGACUUGUCCUGGAAAGACUCCGCCCCUACCUGAUAAUAAGCUGAUCACACCUGCGAGAGAUCCCAGAGAGGCCAAUAAGAGGGCCUGGCAGACCAAAGGAAGGGGUUCGACCGAGAGGCAAGAGAGGACUGAAGCAUGAAGGCACCCAUGAGUGUCACGGGAACCCACGAGAGCCUGGAGUGACACGGAGGCUUAAGAGAUGAGGCCUGAGAGGCCUGACGUGAGGCUUCAGGGUGAAGUCACAGAGGCGUGACACAUGGCGUGGGACAUGAGGCCUGACAUGAGGUUUGAGAGCGACACGAAAAGAGUGACACAUAAGACAGUUGGAGCUUGGCGUUCCAGAGAGCACGAUACAGCACCAGCAACUAGGCACGUGGAGCGAACAGUUGGACGGCAGUAGCAACAAGAGCCCAGCUUGUGCACUGCGGGAGAGCAGAGGUGGCAAGACAGCUGGUGCCAAUUUGCAGUUUUAAAGAAGCGGCGGGCGGAGUUGAGAGCUCUGCCCACCCGGGCGUACCGGGACGCGGAAUGUGGGGAGGAAGGCGAGGACUCCGCUGGGUUUCCCUUUUAUAUCACUUCGCUGGAUUUCUUAGCUCCCUGGGACUUUUAGGUCGUGGCGCAGGCCACUGGACUUUUAAUGUUGUGUUUUAUUGAUUUUUAUUGUGUUACCCCUUGGCCAACCCCUUUUUUUAAUUCAUUUUACAUUUUUAACUAUUUACAGUGGGGCAAAAAAGUAUUUAGUCAGCCACCGAUUGUGCAAGUUCCCCCACCU
ensembl:lncRNA